AUGAAUAUGAGAACUCUUCGUUGAUCGUGUUCAGUGAACUCAUUCUCUAUUGAGCACCUACGUACGUGUCUUGACGUCACACACACCAAUGACUCGAGACUAGUCACUCUCCCUGAGAGAAGACACAGCACGUACUGAUCUUAACGGACUGUCAAUGCCCAAUUGGUAAUCCUAUGAUCAGGAACGUUUAGGAUGUGUCUACGAAAGAAUGUUCUCAUGAAUCUAACUUCUUUAGAUCGCAUUCUCCCAAUCACAUAUUCCUUGGACUUAUCGUUUAAGCGUAUAACAUUUAUAUGAGACGGCUUAAACAAUAAUCUUUGCCCUUGAUAUUAAACUAGAUUAGUUUAACAUGUGAAAUGUCCGUAAAGUAUCAUCAUAUGAUUGGUUUCAGGGCACAUUUCCAACAGCAUGGACACACGAGAAAGGAUAAGAUUAGG
rnacentral:lncRNA from 1 species